AUUGAACGCUGGCGGCAGGCCUAACACAUGCAAGUCGAGCGAGCGGCGGACGGGUGAGUAAUGUCUGGGAAACUGCCUCAUGUAGGGGGAUAACUACUGGAAACGGUAGCUAAUACCGCAUACCAUCAGAUGUGCCCCGAUGGGAUGAGCUAGUAGGUGGGGUAACGGCUCACCUAGGCGACGAUACCUAGCUGGUCUGAGGGGAUGACCAGCAACACUGGAACGGAGACACGCUCCAGACUCCUACGGGAGGAAGCAGGGGGGAAUAUUGCACAAUGGGGGCAAGCCUGAUGCAGCCAUGCCGGGUGUGUGAAGAAGGCCUUCGGUUUGUAAGGCACUUUCAGCGGGGAGGCGUUACCCGCAGAAGAAGCACCGGCUAACUCCGUGCCAGCAGCCGCGGUAAUUC
rnacentral:rRNA from 1 species